AGAUCUGUGCUUCUGGGUUCCGCAGUCUGAGUGGACUUUAUAACCAGUGCUCGCGGCGACGUUGGUUGGUUCCCCUGGAUCUCGACACCUAACGGGGGUGAGAACCGCCGAGUUGUCAUCUGUGUCCGGGCAGAAGGAGCUGACACAGGUCAGGAGCUGGAGAAGUGAAACUGAGGACAGGGGAUCCCAGCGCUGGGCGUCCCCACCCAGGACCUCACCUCCUGGGACUAAGACUUUGUCUGACCCUGUGCUGCGGACACAGCGCUGUUUGUCCUGGUGUCUCUGAGCCGCCUAAGGCCAACUGCUGGUCAGGUGCUGUCGCAGUCCCGGUGAGUGCGUGGGGCCGCCGUGGACACUGCAUGGGAGGUGACUGGAGUUUUACAGCUCUGGUCAAGUCCUUCUGACACACUGUGUCAUAUGUGACUCUCCGUGCAGGAAGCAGUCCCUACUCUCCUCUGCUUUCACUUUUUACUUCAGUUAUGUGUGGCUGGGAUGUGAAGAUAUCAAAUGAAAAUGCACUGAAACAAAAAAAUUAUAAAUUUGAUUUUACUCCACACUACUGAACAGUAGAAUAAAGUUCAAAUCCUGUGUGUGUACCUCGGCGAUGAGAAUCAACCUGUGUCCAGUGUCCACACUGCAGAGGAACCCAGGAGCCAACACGGUUAUCAGAUCCAGUAUCUCACAAACCUGUGACAUUCGUCUCCCUCAUCUCAAUAGCUCAUAAAGUGUUAGUGAAGAAGGUCUCAGAGAGAGAGAGAGAGAGAGAGAGAGAGAGAAUGAGAGAGUCACAGGUUAUAUGCCUUCUAACACACUAUCAUCAUUAUUUUCUUUAUAGUUAGUUACAGUUCCUCUCUUACUGUGUUUAUUCACUAAAGCAACUGUGCCAUGGAAGUGUGUGACACAGGGAAACAUGGAGUGUAGACAGCAUUAGUGUCCUGCUGUAUUUGUUCUCCACUUAGUCUCUCCCCAGUGGAGAAGGGGUCCACUGUGCUGAGACGAUGACCCAGGUCCACACAGACAAUCUCAGGACUAUGGAGUGAAGACCCUUGUAAAACACAACCACCUGGAGCCACAGAUGGUCAUCUGGAAAAAACACCAGGAGUCUGAGUGUAAGCACAAGGCUGUGUAGACAGGAUCCUGAGUGAAGAGGCAAAGUCUCUAUUUACAGGGGAGAUUCCUGAGCAUCAGGCUUGGCAAUGUGAGCGCCCCCUGCAGGUGGACACAGGAGCCUGGUGUCUGUGGGAGUCUGUGUGGUGCUUGCCAGCCAGAGCUUCUACUUUAAAGAGAAGCAUCUCUCUCCCCUGUAUCCCAACCUGAGUGUUGCCAUUGUAUUCCUGGAAGUGACUUUUCUUCUGGAAAAGGGUCUGACUUCUGAAGAGAAGGCAGAGGAAGGAUGAGGAGAGGAGAAAAUGUUUUGAGCUUUGGAUCUCUCCUGGUGUUUUUGUUUUGUUUUUGAGACAAGGUCUGUCUCCUCCAUUCUGGGGGUCCUGAAACGUACUGUGUAGACCAGGCUGGUCUUGAACUCACAGAGAUCCACCUGUGUUUUCAUUCAAAUUCCUGGGAUUAAAGAUUUGUGUCACCA